AGCUUUGCACAAUGGCAGUAUCAUAGCCAAUGAGGUUUAUCCAAGGCAUGAUUAUUGCUAAUUGAAAACUUUUCCCAAUACCCCACCAUGACGACUUGCAGUAUAGUCAGCACUGACUGGCAAUUUUUGACAAUCUCUACCGAGA